rnacentral:lncRNA from 1 species
AUGGUAGAGAGUGUUGUUCAAAUGAAUUUUAAGAAUUUUUUUUUGUACAGACAAACAAUAUACAGUAAUUAAAAAACACCAUAAAAAGACAUAACAUCCAUUUACUUAAAACUCCUUGAAAAAAAAGUUAAUUGAUUACCCAAUAAAAUAAAAUAAUUAGUAACCAAUACAAACAUAAUAAAAUAUUACAAAAAUUUGGUGUUAAAUAAUUGGGCCAAAUUGGACAAUUUGGUGUUAAACAAUUGGGCCAAAUUGUUGGGCCUUGGUGCACAGAUUUUAUGUAUGCCUCCACCCACUGUUCUCUGAAAUGGCAAACACCCAAUUGGAGGUGCACUGAACACUGCAAUCCUCCUUGCACCUAACUCAUUUAAUUCCUUUCAAACCAAACAUCAAACAAAUACUUUAAUGACCAAUUAUAUCUAAUUUAAAAACUAAUACGAUAUUAUGGUUAAACUAAUACGAUAUUACCGUCAAAAAGGUGGAAGCUGAAUUCAGAAGAAGAUCAGAGUAAGAAGGAAGAUCGUAGAGGAGAGAACGAGUACGAUAGGUGUUGGAAAUGUCACUGCUUCCUGCUUCCACAAGGAAAAGACUAUUGGCUAAGAUAAACUUUGCUCUCUCAUCUCCGACCAAACCUUUCAGUUUUACUAUGUACUCUUUGAACAGAUCCAGUUGCCCACUUAACGGUAUUGAUCCCUGAUUAAUUUUGUUAAUUAAUCCAUAUUUCUUGCAUUAUUAAAUAUGCAGAUAAUUAAGGUGAUAAGGUACCUCUAUUAUGGAGGUCAAAGGGUCGUAUCCUGAACCACCUGAAGCAAAACAGACCCCUGUUACCAAAUCACUAGCCUCUAGAUUUGGCUUUAAAUAUGCUGGCAGAAGCUCCUUGAUUCCCAAUUCUUCAACUGUUUAUCAUUUAUGUUAUGCAUCACACCAUAAAACUCACCACAAAUAGCACCACGCAUAUCAUCAUAUGUUAACAAUUUUUUUAAUAUUUUUUUUACAAUAAAACAUGUAUUAUUAUUUUAUUAAUUUGUAUGAAUUUAUUUUAAAAAAAUGUUUGAAACCACCAAUCAUGAAUCACCAAGUAUAAGAAAAAAGAAUUGUUAAAAAACCUUUUUUUCUUUAACAUAUGUUGAUUUUAAUAUGUUAAUAUAAUUAUAUACGGUGAAAGAAUGAUAUAAUUAUAUUUUUUUAAUAUAUAUAUAUAUAUAUAUAUAUAUAUAUAUAUAUAUAUAUAUAUAUAUAUAUAUAUAUAGUUCGUGUGAAAUACAGUGAGGGGAUUUAUAACCAGUGUAAAUAAAAUGUGCAGCGAAUAAAUAGUGUAAGGAGAAAGAUAAAAAUAAAAAUAAAAAUAAAAAAUAUAGGUAAACAAAAAACUUAAAACGCAUACUCCAUAUAGGUCUUCACAGGUCUAAAGUGUCGGUCAAUUUCUAAAUUUAAGCAACUUAAUUUUUUCUGUAUAGAUUUCUUUUAUAAAAAAAAAGAAAACUCUCAUAAAAUUUUAUUUUACUUUUAAAUAAUUUAUAUUAUUUUAAAGGAUGAACUUUAAUCAUGGCUCUAAUAUCAUGUUAGAAGCAGACUUUAAACCUAAUUCAACCCCAUAAAAUUAGCUUGUAGAAUGAAAUAUAUACACUUAAAUGACCUUGUCUCUAAUGGAUGUUUUAAAUGCUGCUUUUAUUUAUGUCUAUCAUUGUCGUGACAGUGGGGUGAUGAUACUUUCAUACUGUAAGUGAUAUCUUCACAUGCCCGGAUAAGUAGAAAAUGAGAGUGCAUGCUUCUUUUUAUGCAAUUUUUUUUUUUAUUACCAGAAGUGUGUGUGUGGAAAUUAUUAAUAUUAUUAAAAAUCACUUUUUGCCGAUAUUUUAUCAUAAUUUUUACAAACAUUUACCUGUUUUACAGCUGUGUUUAAAAACCUCUUUCUUAUCUUUUAUGGGAAUUCGCGUCCAUGUUAUAGAACUACAUUCAACUAUUAUAAUUCAAUAGUGUUAUUUUUACUAAUUAUCACUAAACUUAAUAACUGGAAAUUCAAUAUUUUAUUUUUUUUAUUUAUUGGUUAUCACUGAACUUAAUUGAAUUCAUUAAAAUAAAAUGUAUCAGAAAAGAUAAAAGAAAAAAAGAGAUAGUUACCUAUAAGGUCUGGUGGAACCUUUCCAUUGCUGAAUCUACCAGUCGGGACGCCACCUUCAAAGUCUCUCCCAUACGGAGGGAAAUUCGACCUAGCAAACGCUGUCGUUCUGUUGUUGUUGUUGCCUGUGUCCACCGUGGAAUCUCCAAACACAAACACUGCUGGAACAGACACAUUCGGUGGUAGUUUCAACAAAGCCUUUGUUUUUAAGGAUACAGAUAACAGCAACAACGCAAAAGGAAGAAUCUGAGAGGAAGAAGAAGAAGCUUUAGUGAGAUGAACCAUGGCUGCUUCACUUCACUUUUUGCCACGUGUUGGACAACAAAUAACAUCACUCUUAUUUAUAACCUACGUACUCUUUUCAUGGAAAUAAUUAUUUUUUUUACAAGCAAAAAGAAUUUUAUUAAAAUAGGAUGGACCAUUAUUAGCACAUUAUGCAUAUACUUUAGCUAAUCUUAUUUAAUUUUUCUUAUGUGUGAAACAAGUUUUAUAUUUAUUUUUUAGUAUAUCUGAGCAACAAAAUAAAAGUAUAUUAUUUAUGAACAUAAUAAAAAAAUGAAUAAAAUACAGAAUAGGAGUUGUUUUAAAAUUAAGAGUAUAAUAAAAUAAGUUUUUGUAAUUCUUAUAUAUAACAUAUCUUUUAAAGAUUUAUAUAUGCUAAGAAACAUUGUUUAGAUUUAUUAUUAUUAUUAUUAUUAUUAUUGAAAUUUGAAGUGAGGGUAGCAAUAUAUCUUUCAUGAAAAUUUUACACUUUUUAAUAUUUUGAUUAAUAUGAAAAACACUUAUUGUUGGUCUCAUGUUUUAAAGUGAAAUUAAAUAAUUGGUACAUGUCGGGUCCUUUUUAGCUUUCAGGUCAUUUAUUGCAUGAAUUUGUUGUAUAAGGAAAAAACAAGACAAAUCAAGGAAGCUAAUUUUGCCAUGAAUCAAAUUUUUAAAUAAUGAUUAAUUUAAAUAUUAAUUUAUAAAUUAAAAAUUAUUAGUAAACGAAUAAAAAAUUAUAAUUAGUUUUUAAAGUGAUGAUUAAAAUAGUUUCUUAUUAAUAUUAGUUGCCAAAAUUUUAACUAUUAAAAAAUUGAUCUUUAAUUAUAAAAUUCAUUUGUGAUCAUAUUUUUAAUCACAAACAUUAAUUAAAAAAUUGGAUAAAGGUCUGUUUGAGAGAGACAAAUGAAUAUAUUAGGCAUCUAAAAGUGUCGUAAUUAAAACUGUGACUUUUAACUGAUAUUGGUACAGAUUAUCUGUAAUUGAAAAUAAUGGCUAUCAGCUUCAGAAUCUAAAUGUGCACUUUGGUCGGGUUGGCAGCAAUCUCACUGUAAAACAAAAACAAUUUAGGUUGUUUCCUUGUCUGCUUUCAAUUUAAACACAGACAUUAACUUCAAGUUUAAAGUUUUACAAACACUAACUGGCAUGUGUUUAAAAAAGAAAAAAGAAAAAAAAAAAAAGAGAGCGAAGAGAUCAUAUUUAAGUGUAAAAAAAAAUAAAAAAUCAUCAAUUAGGUUUGUCUAGCUAUAAAUCUUAUCCCAUAUAUAUAAAUUCAAAGUUUAAGUUAUAGAAUAAAAAUACAAAGUUCAACAUUAUAUAGAAAAGAGACUUAUAAAUUUAUUAUCUUAAAAUUUUAGAUUAAAAACGGUGUAAUUAUCCAAUGUGAAUUUGAUUUUAUAUAUUUUAAGUGAAUCUCCUAAAUAUCUACAAAGGUAUAAGAAUCAAUAAUUACUCUAACUUCGAGUUGAGAUGAGUACUAUUAAACAAAAUUUUCUUUUUAAUAAAAGAUUUUUAUGUAUUCAUUAUUGAUGUAUUGUCUUUUCCCUGGAUCUCUUUAAAAGAUUCAAAGAAAUUCAUUCACGUUUUUUAACAAUAAAAUAUAUUUAUAUUAGUAUUUUAAGCUAUUAUAUAUAUAUAUAUAUAUAUAUAUAUAUNUUGUUUUAAAGAUUUAGAUUAUUUACGUAGUUGGACUUGAAUCAUAUUAUAUAAUCUCUUCCUAAUAAAUCUAUUUUUUUUAAAAAAAAAAAAAAACUCAUUAAAUCGAGACAUUACAAAAAAGAAAAUUGUUCGAUCACAGAUACAAAAUACAAGCUUCUUUCCAACAAAUAUAUUUGACUUUUUAAACUUGAUAUUAGUAUAUAAUAAUUAUUAAUUAGAAAUCCUUUUAUUCAUACUGUCAUUAAUUUAUAUUAUAUAUAUAUAUAUAUAUAUAUAUUAGUAUUUUAAGCUAUUAUAUAUAUAUAUAUAUAUAUAUAUAUAUAUAUAUAUAUAUAUAUAUAUAAUAGCUUAAAAUACUAAUAUAUAUAUAUAUAUAUAUAUAUAAUAUAAAUUAAUGACAGUAUGAAUAAAAGGAUUUCUAAUUAAUAAUUAUUAUAUACUAAUAUCAAGUUUAAAAAGUCAAAUAUAUUUGUUGGAAAGAAGCUUGUAUUUUGUAUCUGUGAUCGAACAAUUUUCUUUUUUGUAAUGUCUCGAUUUAAUGAGUUUUUUUUUUUUUUAAAAAAAAUAGAUUUAUUAGGAAGAGAUUAUAUAAUAUGAUUCAAGUCCAACUACGUAAAUAAUCUAAAUCUUUAAAACAAUAAGUUUAAUCAUAGGAUUUUUUUUUCUUAUAUGAUAUUCAUCUUCUUUAAAAGAUGGAUCAUUAAAUUUAAUGUAAUUAACAAAAUUGAUUAUACCUAAUAAUCACCUAUAUUAGAUAGGUCUCAUUAAAUUUAAUCUAAUUGAAAAAAUUGAUUAAAUUUAAAUUUUAUCUAAUUUAAAUUGGGUUUGAUCUAGAUUUAAGCCAAUUUAAAAGAGUUAUUAAAUUACGAGUCAAAGUAGGUUUUAGAUGCAUUUUACUGUAUUAAAGAAUAAUUUUAUGGUAUUGGACCACCUUUUCUAAAGUACUAGUUUGUCAUCUGUUAUACAUGUGAAUAUAAUUAAUUCGUAUUUUGUCGUUAAGAAAUAUGUCAAUAUUUCACAUUAAUUGAUGAAUCAACACAGAACAUGUUUUUGUUUAAUAUAUAACGUUAUCGUCUCAAAUCUUCCUAAUUUCAUCAUAGUACAAAAUCAAUAUUUCGUAUCAAAUUUUAGUAGCAUACAAAUUAAAUCCUCCAUAUAUAUAUAGAAGAACACAAAAUGGUUAAAAACCCAAAAGCUAAUAGAUCUAAAAAACACAUAAAUUCUAUUGAAAUGAACGAAAAAAAAAUCUACAAGUAAAAAAAAAUUAAGAAUGAACUAUAAUUGAAGUAUAUAGGAACCAUUUAUAUGAAAAAUUAGAAGUUAACCUUAUAAUUGAUUAAUUGAAAGUGGAGGUACCAGGAAUUGACUAGUCACGAGUAGUGUUUAUUCUAUACCUAAUUCAUAAUAAAAAAAAAUUGAUUUGUUAUUUAUUUGAUUACUUAAUAUAUAUUUGUUUAAAAAAUAUUUACGAAUUUAAAAAAAUUUAUAAAUAUUUAUAAAUACUCGCAUAUAUUUAAAAAUGUAAUUACAAAUUUUUAAAUUAAAAUUAAUAUAUAUAUAUAUAUAUUCUAAUUUUAAUCUUUUAAAUUAAAAUAAUUGUUUCACUAUUUUAUUUUUUAAAUCACUAUUUUUUAAACAUACGCAUAAUUCGUAUGUUUCCAUUAAUAUGAUGAUCGUUUACUUUUUCAUAUAAUUUAUUUCCUUGAACAAAAAUAAUCAUGAUUCAUCUUCUUCGUUUGGUUCUAAAUCAUUUUACCUUUUUAGGGACAAACUAUAAAGAAUAAAAUUCAAAAAAAUAAAAUAAAAUACCCAUAUUAAGAUUGUGAUUUUACUAUAACAAAGGAAUAAAAAACCCUACUAAAAUUUUAACCAUCCUAUCAUACUUUUUCUUUGCAUACUAUUACUUCAAAACAAGCUUUAAACUAGUAAAAAAUAUCAAUAUCUAUAGACAAACUGCAUAUAAGAAACACAAACAUACUUUCCUUAUUUUAUAAAGUUAAAACACUCAAAUCUUUUUUGUUGUGUCUACCUAAGUAUAGCAAACUCUCACCCAAUUCUAAUUUUGCUUCCAGGUUUAGAAAUACAAACAUAUUUAACUUAUUAAAAUUUUUGUUUUUAAAUUUUAAAUCAUAUUAUUGAACUUAAAUAUAAAUUUUAGGUAUAAUAAUUUGAUAUAUAAAUAAAUGUAAAUUAUUAUACAUGGAUGCUUUUUAAUAAAGUAAUAUUCCUUCUGGUCCUUAUUAGAAGACAUCAUUAAAUCAAUUGCCUGGUAAAAAGAAUAAGUUAGUUUUUUUAAUUUUUUAAAAUAUGACAGUGACUUACCUAUUUCAUCCUUAUAACAAACAUUUAAUCUUUACAUACGUGAAUUAAAAGAAAUUCAUAACAAUUUCAUGUUUUGUUAGCAAUCGCGAUAUGAAAGAUUAUAAAAUAUAAGAGACUCAAUACAAAAUGUUUAAGACAUCAAUUUGAUAUUUAUUUUCAAAGAAUAAAAAUGUCACAACCAUUAUGUAUAUAAAUGUUAUAAAAUGUUUACUCUUAAAGAGAAUGAGGAAAAUAAAAUUUUGUUAAUGAAAAAGAAAAGUAGAAAAUUUUUUAUAGCGAUUGGAAAUGUAAAAUAUAAUAUGUAGAAAACUCAUGUAAUAAUCACAUGAGUGGAAAUAAGUUUUAUUUUUCAUAUUUAAACGAAAAAUUUCAUUCUACAAUUAGUUUUGGUGGGAAAGGUAAUAUUAAUAUAUAAAAUUAAAAACAAGAAUGACAUGUAAAAAUAAUUUAUAAUGUUCUUUGUGUCACUUUAUAGAAAUAAGUUAUGAAACUUUUAUUAGCAAAUAUGUCUAUGAAUUAAUAUUUAAUUUUUUUACAUUAUAAUUAUUUUAUUUUUAUAGUGUAUGUCAAAUUAAUGUAAAAAUAUAUCAUAAUACUAUUAUUAAAUUGAAAAAUGAGUUUAAAAAGACUAUUUUGGUUGCUAAUUGAAAGUCAAAGUUAACGAUUUUGCUUAAUCAUAAUAUAUUAUUGUAAUAGUUUCAAAUUCGAGUGUAUUGAAGAUGUUGAACAAAAAGAAUAUGAUAUCAUGUUUACAUCUUCACAUGGUGGAGCAACUUCAAUGCCUCAGGCCAAUGGAUAAUGAUGCAUGAUCAUAGUUAAGUGUAAUUAAAUUUGGUAUUAUUAAUUUCAUAAAAAAAAAUGAUAUCAUUUAAGAAUUCCAUAGUGCUAGUAUCCUAAUUUGCCAGUACUAAAAGUCACUAUAUUAAACUUGAUAAAUAUUUUUAUAUCUUAAACUAAUACAACCUUUGAUUUUAAAAGUGAUUAUAUUACGGACAUAAUAAAUCAAGUAAACGAGGGUGUUAUUUAUUUUUCAGUGAGUACUAAUAAUUAUAUAAUCUAAAUCCAGAGAAAUUUUCUGACAUGAAAUUCAUAAACAGCAACAGAAACAGUUAUCCGAGGUAAAAGCUCACUUGAAUUGGUACAAAUAUUUUUGAAGAAUAGGAGCUAUGAGCCUUUUGUAAGCGCUUUCUGUGGGAUGAAAACUGUCCCAAAACACAUAAUCUUCAACAUUCGGACACGUAGAAUCCAAACUAUUGCAUAGUAUUGCAACCUCUAUUCUCCCUGUUCCACAGCAUCCAGUGUCUCCCACUUUAUAUCCUGUACAUCAUAAAUAAAUCUUUUAUAUUUAUUUAAUAUUAUUCUUUCUUAUUUACUUUAAUACUUUUUAUACCUUAUUUUUUUACAAAGGGAAGGUUUUAAGAUAAUUAGUUUAAGAUUAGUUACCAUAUUUUUUGUAAUUGAGGAUGAUGUCGAGGAGAGGAUCAUAAACAUUGACGAAAACAUUUCUGCUACUGGGAAAGUUACGAUUGAGAGAACGCAGCAAAUUGGACAAUUUGGUGUUGAAUAAUUGGGCCAAAUUGUUGGGCCUUGGUGCACAGUUUUUCUGUAUGCCUCCACCCACUGUUCUCUGAAAUGGCAAACACCCAAUUGGAGGUGCACUGAACACUGCAAUCCUCCUUGCACCUAACUCAUUUAAUUCCUUUCAAACCAAACAUCAAACAAAUACUUUAAUGACCAAUUAUAUCUAAUUUAAAAACUAAUACGAUAUUAUGGUUAAACUAAUACGAUAUUACCGUCAAAAAGGUGGAAGCUGAAUUCAGAAGAAGAUCAGAGUAAGAAGGAAGAUCGUAGAGGAGAGAACGAGUACGAUAGGUGUUGGAAAUGUCACUGCUUCCUGCUUCCACAAGGAAAAGACUAUUGGCUAAGAUAAACUUUGCUCUCUCAUCUCCGACCAAACCUUUCAGUUUUACUAUGUACUCUUUGAACAGAUCCAGUUGCCCACUUAACGACAUUGAUCCCU